rnacentral:lncRNA from 1 species
CUAAACCCAUCAGACCCACUAAGCCCAAAUACUACAAACCCAAUACCUAAGCCCAAUUAGCCCAUUUUGAAAGAGUAUUCCAGAAACCCUUAGGGUUUCUGAAACCCUUCAGUCACCGUAGAAGGAAAAUCACGGCCCUCCUCGCACAUGCUACGCCUCCGCGCGUGUGCACCUCCGUCUGUUGCUCCAGGCUGGCUGAGUACCUGCAAAAUACACACGCAAGCAGUAGCAAAAGGAAGAAUAAUAAAAAAGGGUCGAAGGGAUAACAGAUUAGAUUUUUGUAUUUAUUUUUAUUAUUUAUUUUGCAAUUUUGGCUAUAUAAAGUCAAUUCGAAUACUGUAAACGAUUACGCACACAAAGAUUGAAAGUCAAAAAAAUAUAUUCUAAAGAAAAAGAAAACAGAGAAUUCCAAAGGUGAUUUGAAUUUUUUCUUUUUCCUUUCUUUUUUGUUUUUUCUUUCGGUUCUCUUUUCUUCGAUUAUUUGUUCAUUAUUCAAGUAAGAUAACAAAAAAAAAAAAAUUAGAAAGCGAAGAAAUUACCUCGCGGUCAGAUCCUUGUUCUCUUCGUCGCAAUCAGAGUUUGAGCAGGGGUUCGAAGAUCCUUUUUUGAGCAGUCGUUUUACAGAGCGGCGCAGAGAUC